AGGAAUGUGGCUUAGUGGUAGAGUGCUUGCCUACCAUGCAUGAAACCAGGGUUCAAUUCCUCAGUACCA
rnacentral:tRNA from 1 species